CAGCGUGACGGUGCUCCGGAGGUUUGUGAUGACCUUGUCUCAGCAGGGCUCCGCCCGAGCUCCGCAGAAACGCGAUCUAGAGAAAAAACCGUGGAGGUAUAUGGUCGGGCUGCCGUGGAAAAGUCGUCUCAAAUCAGCCCUAAAACCUCCGUAUAUAUAGGUGGGAGGGAGGGGACCUUGCCUUGGGGCUCAAGGGUUCGGCCGAGUCCAAGGGGGAAGGCUCCCCCCCAAACCGAGUUGGACUUGGUUUGGUGGGUGGGAGUCCUUCCUUCCCUUCCCACCUCCUCUUUUUUUUUUCUCUUUGAUUUUCUUUCCUAGGCGCAUAGGGCCCUUUUGGGCUGUCCCACCAGCCCACUAAGGGCUGGUGUGCCACCCUCAAAGCCUAUGGGCUUCCCCAGGGUGGGUUGCCCCCCCCCCCNNNNNNNNNNAGAGGGGACCUUGCCUUGGGGCUCAAGGAGCCCCAAGGGGGUCGAUCGAGCCAAGGGGGGAAGGUCUCCCCCCCCCAAACCGAGUUGGACUUGGUUUGGUGGGUGGGAGUCCUUCCUUCCCUUCCCACCUCCUUUUUUUUCUUUCUCUUUGAUUUUUCUUCCAAUGCACAUAGGGCCCCUUUGGGCUGUCCCACCAGCCCACCAAGGGCUGGUGCGNNNNNNNNNNGGGAGGGAGGGGAGGAGGCAGCCUCAAACCCUCAAGGUUUGGCCGAAAUUUGAGGUGGAGGAGUCCUACUCCAAUCCUACUUGGAGUAGGAUUCCACCUUCCCACUUGGAAACUCUUUCCACCUUGUGUUUUUCCCUUCUCAAACCUUAUGGGCCUUAGUGGGAACUUAUUCCAGCCCACUAGGGGCUGGUUUAUCUCUUCUCAUAGCCCAUGAGACCCCUUGGGGCGUGACACCCCUCUCUAUGGUCCCCGUCACCCCUCCCGGCACUCCCGGUACACUACCGAUGAGCCCGAAACCUUUCCGGUAAUGCCCGAAAACUUUCCCGUAACCAAAUGAGGUCAUCCUAUAUAUCAAUCUUCGUCUCCGAACCAUUCCGGAAACCCUCGUGACGUCCGUGAUCCCAUCCCGGACUCCGAAAAACAUUCAGUAACCAACCAUAUAACUCAAAUACGCAUAAAACAACGUCGAACCUUANNNNNNNNNNUGUUUCCGGACCAUUCCGGAAACCCUCGUGAUGUCCGAGAUCUCAUCCAUAUAACUCAAAUACGCAUAAAACAACGUCGAACCUUAAGUGUGCAGACCCUGCGGGCUCGAGAACUAUGUAGACAUGACCCGAGUGACUCCUCGGUCAAUAUNNNNNNNNNNCUUUUUUUUUCUUUCUCUUUGAUUUUUCUUCCAAUGCGCAUAGGGCCCCUUUGGGCUGUCCCACCAGCCCACCAAGGGCUGGUGCGCCACCCUCAAGGCCUAUGGGCUUCCCCGGAGUGGGUUGCCCCCCCCGGUGAACUCCCGGAACCCAUUCGUCAUUCCCGGUACAUUCCCGGUAACUCCGAAAACCUUCCGGUAAUCAAAUGAGGUCAUCCUAUAUAUCAAUCUUCGUUUCCGGACCAUUCCAGAAACCCUCGUGACGUCCGCGAUCUCAUCCGGGACUCCGAACAACAUUCGGUAACCAACCAUAUAACUCAAAUACGCAUAAAACAACGUCGAACCUUAAGUGCGCACACCCUGCGGGUUCGAGAACUAUGUAGACAUGACCCGAGAGACUCCUCGUUCAAUAUCCAAUAGCGGGACCUGGAUGCCCAUAUUGGAUCCUACAUAUNNNNNNNNNNUGCGCCCCGGGGCGACAUUUAGUCGAGUUGGCACGGUUAGCUAAUUAGGGAUUUUUCGGAAUCGUUUACAAUUCCAGAAAAAAUAGCGUAUAUUCUUUCGACCGUAUCUUUUUAUCCGUAAAUCGGAUCGCGACGUGUAGUAUAUGGAUUUGGUGUGGAAUUUUGCUAGUAUCCGUUUUUCCAACUUGCAUAUUUGUUUGACGUCGUUUAGCGUGCCGGAUGCCUAGAAUAACAUGCUGUUUAAAUAGGAUAGGUUCCAGGCCGGCAGCCUGGGAUAGCAAGGAUGGACGUCGUUCUUCUUUUGUCGUUUAUUUUCGUCCGUAAUCGGACCCUGCUCUUACUCUUGAGGAUUAUGUAAUUUACUGAUGUGACUCUGAUGUAGCAUGUGGCGAGUGUAAGCCAAUUCUAUAUAUCUCUUCUUUUCAGUACAUGUACUUGUAACAAUAUUCAUUCUUGCGACACGACGAGAUGCGCUUCUAUCCCUGACGAGGCCCUCGUGCCAAAUUAAGGAUAGGGUCGCAUCUGGGCGUGACAGAAGCACCGGCAUGAGGCAUCCCCCUCCUGUGGUAUCUGCCGCUCCGUUCGUUCUAGGAGCCCCCCUACCUGCUCCCUCGGCGUUUGCCACCGCGUCGCCUGCAACCCCGCAGCGCGUUCAGCCGUAUGUCUUCACUGACAUAUGCCGACAAUAUUGGGAGACGACGACGCCACUCCCCUGGGGAGAUGCCCACCUCCCCAACUAUUCGCAUCUCUGCGCGGAUCGGGUGCCAAUCCCACAUGUGCCGGUGUGCGACCGCGCCCGUCGUGAGGAGAUCGAGCGACGUCGCGCCCGCCUGCCACCGGGUCUACACCACGCCCGCAGGUACGCCAUGGAUUUGCCGUUGUGGGAUAUGUGGCUCUGACACGAGCACGACCUGCGAGAGAAUCUUUUUUGCCGCUCGUCCUUCUAGCCCACACCGCCGACGUACCCCGUGCUGCUAGCCCGCCCCGAACACGCGGGCGUAGGCGUGUGCGCGGACUCACGCUGACGCCAUCUUCGUCCCCGUCCGCUCCACCAUUACCUUCCAUGACCGAGGAGGAGGUGACUGAUGUGAUGAGGCAUGGCAUGGAGGAUGCCAUGAAAACGCAAGACGAGUGCCAAUGGGCGGGCCUGGAGACGGCGUUGGCCCUCUCUAUGGUCGGCAACGUGGACAUCUCGGAGCUGGAGAUGGCCGGCGGCGUGGUCGAGGAGGAGGUGGAGGAGGAGCCGUCCCUUGCCGCGUGGAACCCCCAGUUGGCGGGUCAUGAGUGGAGAUGGUCGUCGACAGCGCCGGAGAUGGCGGACUCGCUCAAUGUCGGUCCAUGGUUGCUCACGCGAGUGUAUUCAUCACAUGCAGGAGGAGCAUGAACCACGGGGGGAGGUGGUGCACGCCCCGCAAGCGCCUCCGGACUGGCACAGGGGGAGGCAAAAUUCAUUUUUUGACUCUUUUCGUAUAGUUGGGCCGGAUCUGACCCCGGUGGAGAAUUUUUUUUCGGAUCAAACCAUUUUGCUACCAUCGGACCUUUGACGGUAGGGUAUGACAAACCACCGCCGAGGUCCCUCGCGGUAUAAAACUGGCCUACCGCCGCAGGGGCUGGUGGUAGCACGUGUAAGCGUACCGCCAAGGUGCCCGGCGGUAGGCACGCACGUGCACUAUGUCUGCAACUUAGAUUUUUUUAUGAUAGGCGUGCAAUCCUACCGUGAGGGACCUCAACGGUAGGUUGUUAUACCCUACCGCCAGAGACCUCGGCGGUAGGUUGUUAUACCCCAUCGCCAAGUGGUCCGACGAUAGCAAAAGGGCAAGAUUCGAUCUUUUUUCAUCAAGGUCGGAUCGGACUUAACUAUACGAAAAGGGUCAAAACAGUGAAUUUUACCCUACGGGGAUGGCCCGUGCAGGUUGUACAUAGCUCCGCGGUGCUGUGUUGUAUCACAAUAUCAUACAGCUCUAGACGUGUUGCCGUGUCGUACUGCAAUAUCAAGGGUGGGUCAUUCACGUUUAUAUUGAAUGAAACUCGAGUGGCACAAUGCGUGCGAGGACUGACUCGAGUAUGAGUGAAUUUGAAAACGGUGAAUUCAAAAUACUCGUUGAACAUCCAGUUAUCUCGGAUUUAAUGUUUACAUUUGCACUAUUGUUGUAUUAAGGAUAUUUACAAGUUUUUUAUGAUUGAAUUGUGCUAUAUUUGAUAAUUAAAUUGAGUUUUGCAAAAUUAAGAAAAAAAACAAAGAUAAACGUUCAACGGACAUGGUUGGAUGCCCGACUCAUCUCCAUUUUGGGUUGGUUGAGAAACGUUGGUUUAUUUUAUAUCCUUUUAUGCGAAUAUUCGGAUGAAAGUAGAAAAAAACGAGCGCACAGAGGUGGAUCCCGAAAAAAAAGGGAAAUCAACAAGAAGAUGGAUCCCCGAAAAAAACAACCCAAAAUGGAGAUGAACUAGAGAGGUGGACACUCACGAAGGAGCAAGGCACCGGCAAACUGAUCCUAACUCAGAUGAUUAGCUUCAUUCUGGUAGAACCGACCCAUCAUUGGUUCAAGCCCUAGUUACGCGGUUCAAAUCCUAGUCUUUCGUUGUAACUUUGCCAAUCUUAAAAUAAUUUGUAGCUUCGGUCUGUGUAAUAUGUUAAUAAUGGCAGCAGGGUUUGUUUGUCUGUAUUUAUAAAAAUGAGUGUAUGUAUGUAUAUGUAACGUUAAACAUAUUGUUUUAAAAUUAAGAGCGAGGCACCACACACGCACCGCGUCGACGGUCCGAUAGACGCAAUCAUGUUCGAGACCUUUUUUUCCUCAAAUGAUAAAUGCAUCAUGUUAGCACAAGCAACACCGUCCCAAUGUUUUUACAACUAAAAUAAUCGUUUGGAAAUAAAAAAAGAACAAAAGAAAAUGAAAUUUGUCAUCCUAGCAAAAAAAUAUCAUACACUAUUUUUUUGGAAAAAAAAAAGAAAAAAAAAGUAUCAUCCCCAUAUCGUUUACAAUUGAAAUUAUCAUCCUCGAGAUAAUCUCGAGUAACUAAACGUAUCAUAAAAAAAAAUAUCAAAGCAAAAUUACUUCAUGCCACAUACUAUGUGCUACGUAUGUUUUCCCCCCUCUUGUCGUGGUGCAUGCAACGCUGGGCUCAUGGACGAACGCACGGUUUUUGCCUCCACCGGCAGCGGUCGCAAUCGCAUCACCGGUGUAUCUCUCGAAGCUGAUGACACAGCCCAAGCAAAGGCUUUCCAAAAAAAAAAANNNNNNNNNNAAAUCGAAACCACGUUUUACGGGCGUCAAUUCCUCUUUUAGCACGCGCUUUCGGCCCUUCGCAAAAGGAGAAAAGGAGUCGGCGUUCGACGUCGGUCCGUCCCUUCUUCUUUCGCUAAAACCGUUGUUGAUUGACACACACAAAAAAAAAGGGUUGCUGCCGCUGUUUUCUUUCCCACUAACGAAAUAUCUCGGCCAGACCGGAAUCACACAAAAAAAAAGGGGGGCCCGCUGGACAGCGACGCACGUUCCACGUUAAUUGACGCGCAUCACGUCCACGUGGCCUGAAUUACCGAACCUGCCCCUCCCGCGGAAAAGGCUUUGCUUCUGUAAUUCCCUUGCGAACGCGCGGGGGGGGGGGGGGNNNNNNNNNNNNNNNNNNNNNNNNNNNNNNNNNNNNNNNNNNNNNNNNNNNNNNNNNNNNNNNNNNNNNNNNNNNNNNNNNNNNNNNNNNNNNNNNNNNNNNNNNNNNNNNNNNNNNNNNNNNNNNNNNNNNNNNUAAGUAAAGUGUGGUGGAUCCCGCCGUUUCGCGCCCUUUCUCCUCCGCGCACCCCAGGUCACCUUCCCUCGCUCGCCGUACGCUGGGGCCCGCGCGCCCACGUGUGCCACCCGCGGAACCGCGUGGCACGCGGCCGGACGCGUCGCGGCUAUGGCCACCCGGGGGGAUCGUACACGGCCGGCCGCCAUGUGAUUCCGGCUUCUGGCUGUGGCGUUGUGCGGCGCGUGACGUGUGGAGUGUCUGCGAGUGGGACGGGAGCAAUAAACAGUGGCGUGGGCGGGGGCGGGGGCAGGGGCGAGUGGGAGUAGGAGUAGCGCCGUGUCGUGUGUGUCGACUAGCGCCGCGCCUCGGUCUCGCCCGGUGGCGGUGUCUGUCUUCCACUCCCACUCCCACUCCCGCCGUCCCUUCCCUUCCUUCCUUCCGCGCUCCCGAGCCCCGACGCACGACCUCCUAGAUGCGGACGACGAGGGGCGGCCGGCGGUGAGACUGCGACCGACCGACCGACCGAGGGCCCGCCGAUAGGGAUGGGAGGCCCCGUCACGCUCGCGGUCGUCGCGUUGGCGGCGUUGGCGGUGAUCGGCGCCGCGGAGGGGGACUCGCUCGCCGGCCUCGCCGCGGGNNNNN
rnacentral:lncRNA from 1 species